UCUGGUGCCAGCAGCCGCGGUAAUUCCAGCUCCAAUAGCGUAUAUUAAAGUUGUUGCGGUUAAAAAGCUCGUAGUUGGACUUGUGUCCCACGCCGUCGGUUCGUCGCCCGUCGACGUUAACCGCACGGUCAAUACGCAUAGUGGGACGUCCAGCCGGUGAGGUGCCUGGUCGCCGGUCGGCCGGCCGUGCGUUCGUCGCCUCGUGCUGUUCGCGCGACUACCGGCUCGUCCGGGGUCCGCUGCGGUGCGGCGGUGGCGCGCGCUCGCGCCCAAGCCUCCGGCGGUGCCGGCCUCAUGCUACUCGUCUCGGUGCUCUUAACCGAGUGUCUUGACGGGCCGGCUCGUUUACUUUGAACAAAUUAGAGUGCUUAAAGCAGGCUCACCACGCUUGAAUAUUGUGUGCAUGGAAUAAUGGAAUAGGAUCUCGGUUCUAUUUUGUUGGUUUUCUGAACCAGAGAUAAUGAUUAAUAGAGACUGACGGGGGCAUUCGUAUUGCGACGUUAGAGGUGAAAUUCUUGGAUCGUCGCAAGACGAACCGAAGCGAAAGCGUUUGCCAAGAACGUUUUCUUUAAUCAAGAACGAAAGUUAGAGGUUCGAAGGCGAUCAGAUACCGCCCUAGUUCUAACCAUAAACGAUGCCAACUAGCGAUCCGCCGGUGUUCCUCCGAUGACCCGGCGGGCAGCUUCCGGGAAACCAAAGUGUUUGGGUUCCGGGGGUUGCUGAAACUUAAAGGAAUUGACGGAAGGGCACCACCAGGAGUGGAGCCUGCGGCUUAAUUUGACUCAACACGGGAAACCUCACCAGGCCCGGACACUGGAAGGAUUGACAGAUUGAUAGCUCUUUCUUGAUUCAGUGGGUGGUGGUGCAUGGCCGUUCUUAGUUGGUGGAGCGAUUUGUCUGGUUAAUUCCGAUAACGAACGAGACUCUGGCCUGCUAACUAGUCGCACCGCAAACGACAUCCGCAUUCGUGCUGUCGGCGACCGUAUAUAAACUCUUCUUAGAGGGACAGGCGGCUUUCUAGCCGCACGAGAUAGAGCAAUAACAGGUCUGUGAUGCCCUUAGAUGUUCUGGGCCGCACGCGCGCUACACUGAAGGGAUCAACGUGUGUUCAACCCUCGGCCGAGAGGUCCGGGUAACCCGCUGAAACCCCUUCGUGCUAGGGAUUGGGGCUUGCAAUUGUUCCCCAUGAACGAGGAAUUCCCAGUAAGCGCGAGUCAUAAGCUCGCGUUGAUUACGUCCCUGCCCUUUGUACACACCGCCCGUCGCUACUACCGAUUGAAUGAUUUAGUGAGGUCUUCGGACCGUCGCGCGACAGCGCACGCGAGUGCCUGCCGAUGUCGACGGAAAGAUGAUCAAACUUGAUUAUUUAGAGGAAGUAAAAGUCGUAACAAGG
rnacentral:rRNA from 1 species